AUUGAACGCUGGCGGCAUGCUUUACACAUGCAAGUCGAACGGUAACAGGCCGCAAGGUGCUGACGAGUGGCGAACGGGUGAGUAAUGCAUCGGAACGUGCCCAGUCGUGGGGGAUAACUGCUCGAAAGAGCAGCUAAUACCGCAUACGAUCUGUGGAUGAAAGCGGGGGACCGUAAGGCCUCGCGCGAUUGGAGCGGCCGAUGUCAGAUUAGGUAGUUGGUGGGGUAAAGGCUCACCAAGCCAACGAUCUGUAGCUGGUCUGAGAGGACGACCAGCCACACUGGGACGGAGACACGGCCCAGAAUCCUACGGGAGGCAGCAGUGGGGAAGUUUGGACAAUGGGGGCAACCCUGAUCCAGCAAUGCCGCGUGCAGGAAGAAGGCCUUCGGGUUGUAAACUGCUUUUGUACGGAACGAAACGGUCUGGGUUAAUACCCUGGGCUAAUGACGGUACCGUAAGAAUAAGCACCGGCUAACUACGUGCCAGCCGCCGCCGUAAGAC
rnacentral:rRNA from 1 species